rnacentral:rRNA from 1 species
GAUGAACGCUGGCGGCGUGCCUAAUACAUGCAAGUCGAGCGAACAGAUAAGGAGCUUGCUCCUUUGACGUUAGCGGCGGACGGGUGAGUAACACGUGGGUAACCUACCUAUAAGACUGCGAUAACUUCGGGAAACCGGAGCUAAUACCGGAUAACAUUUGGAACCGCAUGGUUCUAAAGUGAAAGAUGGUUUUGCUAUCACUUAUAGAUGGACCCGCGCCGUAUUAGCUAGUUGGUAAGGUAACGGCUUACCAAGGCGACGAUACGUAGCCGACCUGAGAGGGUGAUCGGCCACACUGGAACUGAGGCACGGUCCAGACUCCUACGGGAGGCAGCAGUAGGGAAUCUUCCGCAAUGGGCGAAAGCCUGACGGAGCAACGCCGCGUGAGUGAUGAAGGGUUUCGGCUCGUAAAACUCUGUUAUUAGGGAAGAACAAAUGUGUAAGUAACUGUGCACGUCUUGACGGUACCUAAUCAGAAAGCCACGGCUAACUACGUG